rnacentral:rRNA from 1 species
AGCGAACGCUGGCGGCAGGCCUAACACAUGCAAGUCGAACGAACUCUUCGGAGUUAGUGGCGGACGGGUGAGUAACACGUGGGAACGUGCCUCUUGGUUCGGAAUAACUCAGGGAAACUUGUGCUAAUACCGAAUGUGCCCUUCGGGGGAAAGAUUUAUCGCCAUUAGAGCGGCCCGCGUCUGAUUAGCUAGUUGGUGAGGUAACGGCUCACCAAGGCGACGAUCAGUAGCUGGUCUGAGAGGAUGACCAGCCACACUGGGACUGAGACACGGCCCAGACUCCUACGGGAGGCAGCAGUGGGGAAUCCUGCGCAAUGGGCGAAAGCCUGACGCAGCCAUGCCGCGUGAAUGAUGAAGGUCUUAGGAUUGUAAAAUUCUUUCACCGGGGACGAUAAUGACGGUACCCGGAGAAGAAGCCCCGGCUAACUUCGUG